GGGCCCGCGUUGGAUUAGCUAGUUGGUGGGGUAAAGGCCUACCAAGGCGACGAUCCAUAGCUGGUCUGAGAGGAUGAUCAGCCACACGUGGGACUGAGACACCGGCCCAGACUCCGUACGGGGAGGCAGCAGUGGGGAAUAUUGGACAAUGGGCGCAAGCCUGAUCCAGCAAUGCCGCGUGCAGGAUGAAGGCCUUCGGGUUGUAAACUGCUUUGUACGGAACGAAACGGUGAGCUCUAAUACAGUUUGCUAAUGACGGUACCGUAAGAAUAAGCACCGGCUAACUACGUG
rnacentral:rRNA from 1 species